rnacentral:rRNA from 1 species
GACGAACCGUGCGAACGUCGUUCGGAUUCACUGGGCUUAAAGGGCGCGUAGGCGGAUGGUCAAGUCGGGGGUGAAAUCUUUCAGCUUAACUGGAAAAGUGCCUCCGAUACUGAUCGUCUCGAGGGAGGUAGGGGCAUGUGGAACUUCCGGUGGAGCGGUGAAAUGCGUAGAUAUCAGGAGGAACACCGAUGGCGAAGGCAGGUCUCUGGGCAUUAACUGACGCUGAGGAGCGAAAGCAUGGGGAGCGAACAGG